rnacentral:rRNA from 1 species
GAGUUUGAUCCUGGCUCAGAUUGAACGCUGGCGGCAGGCCUAACACAUGCAAGUCGAGCGGAUGACGGGAGCUUGCUCCUUGAUUCAGCGGCGGACGGGUGAGUAAUGCCUAGGAAUCUGCCUGGUAGUGGGGGACAACGUUUCGAAAGGAACGCUAAUACCGCAUACGUCCUACGGGAGAAAGCAGGGGACCUUCGGGCCUUGCGCUAUCAGAUGAGCCUAGGUCGGAUUAGCUAGUUGGUGGGGUAAUGGCUCACCAAGGCGACGAUCCGUAACUGGUCUGAGAGGAUGAUCAGUCACACUGGAACUGAGACACGGUCCAGACUCCUACGGGAGGCAGCAGUGGGGAAUAUUGGACAAUGGGCGAAAGCCUGAUCCAGCCAUGCCGCGUGUGUGAAGAAGGUCUUCGGAUUGUAAAGCACUUUAAGUUGGGAGGAAGGGCAGUAAGUUAAUACCUUGCUGUUUUGACGUUACCGGCAGAAUAAGCACCGGCUAACUCUGUGCCAGCAG